AGAUACUUUACUGAAAUGGAACUGCAUGUGAGGUUUCAACAAUCGUCUUGCAUUUGUAGAUCAAAACAUGAGGAAAGAAAGCUAAGCUGUGGCUUCUACCCAUGAACAGUUGGUUUCUGAACAAUCUCUGUGGUCGUGUGGAAGUUAUUACUGAGUACACCAAGUUCUAGUUUAUAUUUAUUU